GACAGAGGGUGCAAACGUUGUUCGGAAUUACUGGGCGUAAAGCGCGUGUAGGCGGCUAAGUAAGUCGGGCGUGAAAUCCCACGGCUCAACCGUGGAAGUGCACUCGAAACUGCAUAGCUAGAGUCCUGGAGAGGAAGGUGGAAUGCUUGGUGUAGAGGUGAAAUUCGUAGAUAUCAAGCGGAACACCGGUGGCGAAGGCGGCUCACUGGCCCGAUACUGACGCUGAGGCACGAAAGCGUGGGGAGCAAACAGG
rnacentral:rRNA from 1 species